UACACCUCUAUCACCUUAUUUCUAACCACCAAUAUCACCAACCAUCAAUUAUAGAAUAUACACAAUCUCAUUAGAGCAGAAUUUUUGCACAACAAAGCUCAAGAACAUAAAUUUCGCCAACCUCAUGGCCAUACAAUCUGUUUUCAAGUGGUACUAUACCCAGCAACUUGGCGCAAACGGAUCUCGGAAUCUAGGCCUAACGAGUAAUACGCGGAAAGGUGUGGAGUAGCAUACUUUGAUAGGCUAGUACCUGUGCAAUCUGUAACCAGGACACUACGUGACGACCCCCUUUGUGUUAGCUGCUUGUGAAGUUUAUGUGCGAUACUAUGUGGAUAGAGGCAUGCUGCUUAGCUAAAAAAACGGUUCAUGAAAACUCGCGUAGUAUCUAGCUAAAUAUGCAACAGUAAUGUGUAAUAGCGAUACGUAAAAAAUGAUGUAUCAUAUUGUUUAAUUAAUGUUUAAUAGAGUAUCUU
rnacentral:lncRNA from 1 species